rnacentral:lncRNA from 1 species
GGGUUGGGAUUAGGGUUAUAGUAACAUUUAGUAUUCAUAGGUUGUGGGUCAUACUGGAUUCCUAUACUAUUUCAGCGAUGUGAAAUAGAACAUUCGGAGAUUUUCAAAAUAUGUAUUUGUGCAUUUCUAAUUGUUUGAACCACAUUAUCUAUGGUUUCAUAUAGCAUAGAUUCAUGUCAUUCCUUAUAUAAGAUGACACCAACAAUUUUAGUCAUCUAUUUUAUUUUCUAUAGUGCAUAUGUAUGUGAUAAAUAAGUGUAUAAUUUGGAUAGAUCAGUAAAUAUGGGGCUUCACUCCUAUC